CGCUGGAACCCGGGAGGUUGGCGUGAGCUGAGAUCGUGUCACCACAUUCCAGCCUGGGCAACAAGAGCGAAACUCCAUCUGGAAAAAAAAAAAAAACACAAAACACUUGGCAACUUGAUUGAGAAUCAACAGAUUUAAAAUGAGGUAUCCCUGCUGUAAAUGUGAGAGGCUAGAAAGGAUGGAACCCCUAGUUUGGAGAUUCAGACUGAUGUGAAAAGGUGUGUGCUUCAUAUUCUGAGACAAAGACCUAGUGAAAUAAAACAGCCUUUUUUAAAAUUUUUAUUUUCAGUACAUUAAAUUUACUCAUAAAAACAUUCUAAAAAUGUACAAUUUGUCCUUUUUAACAAAGUAUAAUAAAACAUAAAAACCCC
rnacentral:lncRNA from 1 species